rnacentral:RNase_P_RNA from 1 species
UCAGGGGGCCUGAGGCAGCCGCGCGCGUUCUUGUUAAGGCAAGGGGGGCGAGGAAAGUCCGGGCUCCACGAAACAAGGGUGGCGGGUAACGCCCGCCGGUUCCUCGCAAGGGGGGCAAGGGAAAGUGCCACAGAGAGCAAACCGCCGAUGGCCCGCUUGCGGGCACAGGCAAGGGUGAAAGGGUGCGGCAAGAGCGCACCGGGGCUCCGGCAACGGGGUCCGCAUGGCAAACCCCACCCGGAGCAAGGCCGAAUAGGGGCCGCGCGCCCGUCAGCAAUGGCGGGUAGGGGUGUUUCGCCCCGAGCGGCCCGGGUUGGCUGCUUGAGCCGUCCAGCAAUGGGCGGCCCAGAUGAAUGGCUGCCACCGCGGGGCCGGUCCUUCGGGAUACCGCCUGCGGAGACAGAACCCGGCUUAUGAUGGCCCCCUGAUAUC